rnacentral:rRNA from 1 species
AAGUCGUAACAAGGUUUCCGUAGGUGAACCUGCGGAAGGAUCAUUAUCGAAUAAACUUGCACAGGCUGUUGCUGGCCCUUGAGGGGGUAUGUGCACGCUUGUCAUCUUUAUCAUUUCUCCCAACUGUGCACAUAUUGUAGACUUUUUUUGAAUUCCUUAUCAGAAUUCAAGUUGGGGGACUGCUGUGCUUAACAGUCGGCUUUCCCUUGUAUUUUUCAGGUCUAUGUCAUUUUUCACAACCUCUAUAAUAUGUUUAGAAUGUUGAAUCAGGUCCUUGUACCUAUAUAAAAAGUUAUAAACAACUUUCAGCAACGGAUCUCUUGGCUCUCGCAUCGAUGAAGAACGCAGCGAAAUGCGAUAAGUAAUGUGAAUUGCAGAAUUCAGUGAAUCAUCGAAUCUUUGAACGCAUCUUGCGCUCCUUGGUAUUCCGAGGAGCAUGCCUGUUUGAGUGUCAUUUGACCUUCUCUCAACCAUAUCAGUCAAUGAUGUGGCUUGGAUGUGGGGUUGCAGGCUUCGAGUAUGAAAGUCCAGCUCCCCUGAAAUGCAUUAGUGGUAUCUGUCUGAGCUGCUAUUUGGUGUGAUAACUUAUCUAUGCCUUUUGGUGAUCAGCACCGCUUAUAACUAUCAAUUUGACAAAUUUGACCUCAAAUCAGGUAGGACUACCCGCUGAACUUAAGCAUAUCAAUAAGCGGAGGAAAAGAAACUAACAAGGAUUCCCCUAGUAACUGCGAGUGAAGCGGGAAAAGCUCAAAUUUGAAAUCUGGCAGCUCUUUGAACUGUCCGAGUUGUAGUCUAGAGAAGUGUUACCUGUGCUGGACCGUGUACAAGUCUCCUGGAAUGGAGCGUCACAGAGGGUGAGAAUCCCGUCUUUGACACGGACUGCCUGCAUGUUAUGGUGUGCUCUCAAAGAGUCGAGUUGUUUGGGAAUGCAGCUCAAAAUGGGUGGUAAAUGCCAUCUAAAGCUAAAUAUUGGCGAGAGACCGAUAGCGAACAAGUACCGUGAGGGAAAGAUGAAAAGAACUUUGGAAAGAGAGUUAAACAGUACGUGAAAUUGCUGAAAGGGAAACGCUUGAAGUCAGUCGCGUCGGCUAGAAAUCAACCUUGCUUCUGCUUGGUGUACUUUCUUGUUGAUGGGUCAGCAUCAAUUUUGAUCGUUGGAUAAAGUCAUUGGGAAUGUGGCAUCUUAGGAUGUGUUAUAGCCCAUUGUCGCAUACAGCGGUUGGGAUUGAGGAACUCAGCACGCCCGCAAGGGACGGGUUUCGACCACGUUCGUGCUUAGGAUGCUGGCAUAAUGGCUUUAAUCGACC